GACAGAGGGUGCAAACGUUGCUCGGAAUUACUGGGCGUAAAGCGCGUGUAGGCGGACUGGUGUGUCGGAUGUGAAAUCCCCAGGCUCAACCUGGGAACUGCAUUCGAAACUGCCAGCCUUGAGUGGUGGAGAGGGAAGUGGAAAUUCCUGGUGUAGAGGUGAAAUUCGUAGAUAUCAGGAGGAACACCAGUGGCGAAGGCGGCUUCCUGGACACCAACUGACGCUGAGACGCGAAAGCGUGGGGAGCAAACAGG
rnacentral:rRNA from 1 species